UGAGAAGGCCAUAGGUUGCUGUCCA
rnacentral:piRNA from 1 species